rnacentral:rRNA from 1 species
AUCUGGCACCUUCGGUGUCCGAGUUGUAAUCUCUAGAAAUGUUUUCCGCGUUGGACCGCACACAAGUCUGUUGGAAUACAGCGGCAUAGUGGUGAGACCCCCGUAUAUGGUGCGGACGCCCAGCGCUUUGUGAUACAUUUUCGAAGAGUCGAGUUGUUUGGGAAUGCAGCUCAAAUUGGGUGGUAAAUUCCAUCUAAAGCUAAAUAUUGGCGAGAGACCGAUAGCGAACAAGUACCGUGAGGGAAAGAUGAAAAGCACUUUGGAAAGAGAGUUAACAGUACGUGAAAUUGUUGGAAGGGAAACGCUUGAAGUCAGACUUGCUUGCCGAGCAAUCGGUUUGCAGGCCAGCAUCAGUUUUCCGGGAUGGAUAAUGGUAGAGAGAAGGUAGCAGUUUCGGCUGUGUUAUAGCUCUCUGCUGGAUACAUCUUGGGGGACUGAGGAACGCAGUGUGCCUUUGGCGGGGGUUUCGA